rnacentral:rRNA from 1 species
AACGAACGCUGGCUGCAUGCCUAACACAUGCAAGUCGAACGAGACCUUCGGGUCUAGUGGCGCACGGGUGCGUAACGCGUGGGAAUCUGCCCUUGGGUUCGGGAUAACAGUUGGAAACGACUGCUAAUACCGGAUGACGUCUUCGGACCAAAGAUUUAUCGCCCAGGGAUGAGCCCGCGUCGGAUUAGCUAGUUGGUAGGGUAAAAGCCUACCAAGGCGACGGUCCGUAGCUGGUCUGAGAGGAUGAUCAGCCACACUGGGACUGAGAACCGGCCCAGACUCCUACGGGAGGCAGCAGUGGGGAAUAUUGGACAAUGGGCGAAAGCCUGAUCCAGCAAUGCCGCGUGAGUGAUGAAGGCCUUAGGGUUGUAAAGCUCUUUUACCCGGGAUGAUAAUGACAGUACCGGGAGAAUAAGCCCCGGCUAACUCCGUGCCAGCCGCCGCAGUAA